ACUUCACGGAGGGAGAGCGGGCUGGGCUGAGGGUGGUUUGUGUGGUGUUACGGUGCUGCGUGGACGGCGCGUGUGGCCUGCGUGAGUGAACGCGCGAAUGUGUGAGUGUGUGCAUGAGGCGUGCAAGGCGAGUGUGUGCGCCCGUCCCUGAGCCCCUCCCCCGCCUACACCUUGAUCUUAUUUGAUCGGGUUGUGACCCUAGCCCCGCCGGGCCGACCCGAGAUGAAAAGCUUCCCUCCUGCGAAGCCCCCUCCUCGGGGCGCUGUGCAGCGAGGCCCCUUGGGCGGCGGCAACGCCGCGGUCCCGGAACCCGUCUUAUGGGGCCCGGCGCUCAGAAGUGAUGAAUUGAUCAGAUAGACGAGGCCGGGCUUGUCCCGGGCCACUGAUUAUCGAGGCGAUUCUGAUCUGA
ensembl:scaRNA small Cajal body-specific RNA 2